UUCCUCAUUUCAACACUUCCAUGAAAUCCAAUUCCCGGCUCUGAGCAGGACUCACUUGUUCUGGGGCAGAUAUCACAGGCCAUGGAUGUCCCAGGCUGCCGCCCUGGGCAGAAAGCUUAGCUGGUACAGCAGAUUUGGGGGUCGGUGGGUGAGUGGUGUCAAAGGCUUUGCAGUUCUGGAGGAGUGAGGGGGUCUGAGGACCCGAGGACACACCAGAUUCCCAGAGGUUAGAGGUAGUAGAGAGAAGAGGAACCAGGAGACAGAGACAGGG
rnacentral:lncRNA from 1 species